GCAGGGAAUCCAGUCUUUUGAUCUUUCGCCAAUGCAUCCUGUGAUCUGAAAUCAAUCAAUAAUCUCCCAGCAAAUAUAGCUGCUGCAGAGGUUAACCUCCUGAGGCAUAGAGCAGAGAGAAGAUGGGUGGAAAAUUUAUUUGUACUGAGGAAUUGGCCACAUGGUCCAGCCUAACUGGAUGGGCAGAGAAGUAUGAAUUCCUGCCAGGUGGAAGAGGAUAACCAGCGCUUUACAGACCCGGCCCUAGACAUCUUGCUAACCAUCGCCAUUCAUCCCAGAUCAAAUGUUGAUCAAAGGAUAAAAGAGGAUCAGAAAAUGACGCAGAGACUCCAGGCCGGAGGUGCUGAAAAAAGGGGCCGCUUCAUUAGACAAUAUGGUGCGAGGAAUGUGAGGAGCAGCUGGCAUUUCAGUUCCAUUUUUUAAAAUCCCCCACUUUAUCACGGGUAUUAAACUCGCGCCUGCGUCAAUAGCUCCACACAUGAAUUUUCACUAGGUGGUGAGACAGCCCUGGACCAUCACGCCAGCGAAACUCGAUCGCCUUCCCACCCCCACUUAUAAAAAAAUCUAAUUACAAAGCCACUGGGUGAAGGGAACCUGUAAAUGUAAUAUGCCUGGACCUCUGGAAUCCAUUGGAUGCAGCGCCUUGCGAAAUCUGACUUGGAAAAAAUUAAUACAAAUUGAUUUGGACAGAAGUGCUGUCGCAGGGAUUGAAAACUGGCUCAAAGACGGUAAACAACGGAUAAUGACAAAUGGCAGGGCAAUCAAGGAGCAGGAGCCGAGUUUUCUCUAAGAGAGGAGUGUCCAAGGAGCCUCCAUGAGUCAGGGUUUGAGUUCAUUUGGGGUCACCAUGGGUCUUAUCUGCAAAGGACUGAAAAACAUAUGAAGGAAAUCAUAGCAGACUCACAGUAGGAAUGAGGGUAAACAUUAAUAAAAGGGGAAUCAGACUGGGUCAAAGGAAUGCUGGAACCAUAGAAGGAGAAAAUCAGUUAAAACUUAUUAUAAAGAUGAGAAAAUGGCCGGAAGACAGUCUUCCAAGACUCAGAGAUUCCCGGCACAAGUGCAGAUAAAUUCAAACUAUUUCAUUUGACUGAUGUUUACCUUCAUCUCCCAAGUUUCCAUGGCUACACCAAUACUGAUUUGAACAAAAUAAUGAUAGAUUUCAAGAUAGUACAUAUUCUUAAAUUUAAAAAACUUUAUAAAAAUAUUUAUUUAUCCCCAGCCCUCCUGCCUUCAGAAUCCAGAUCUUUAGGUGUAGGUUAAUUUGCAUGCCGAUUUACUAGCUGAAAAACCAGAAAGAAAUAGGAGCUUGGAAGCAUUUGUCCUUAGGCAACCAAUGUGAAACAUCAAGAGCGCAAAAUGAUAACACAAAUUCGGUUUGUAUUAUUUGCACCCAGAGCUCACUUAGAACAACCAAUUACUUUUUAACGUGAAAAAUAAAAAUUUCCCACGAGUAUGAAAUGAUUCAACUGAUCGCAUAUUGACUGCACUUCUAUUAUGUGUUGACUCCUUUACUAAAAAGUCGUGUUGUUUUGUGUGGGAGAAAAGAGUUGUUCCAAAGUCAGAUUACAAAAAAAUGAGUGCACACUUUACCUCAAGAGGUUUUGCUCACAAGUAGAUUCUUAGAAUGUCAGUGCUGACAAGGACCUAAGGCUCCUUGAUUCUGAUUCCCUUCCUUUGGGGCAAGAACUGGACCUCACAGAGAAAUAAGACUCCGUUUGUUUCCUGUGUUCCCGUGGCCAGCCAGAGGCCCUGUGAGAAUAUCUGUCUGGAUGCCUCUACAUAACUGUGCAGCCAGGAGACCUCAUGGAAUCUUUCACUUUCCACAUGCUCCCAUCCUGCCUAAGAUGCCACAUCACCGCCAUUCUUCCAGCCUGGCGAGGCCGAGCUUCACAGAAGCACAGAGCACUUUUCCAUUUUGGAAACCUGACCAAGCCUGCUGACCAGGCUGGGCCGCUGACAGUAGCACCAGUCCUGACUCUCUCUGUGCCAGAGUGAACAGCACUCUAAGCCAGAGUCUUUCAGAACCUUGGGACCACUUAAUCCCUCAAAGCUUUUCAUUCCUGCCACCUUUGGCCUCCACCCAAAAUGCACGCUCCAACAGUCCUCUGUCCUCUCACAUCCUGGUCCCCACCCUACUCUUUGUUCCUCUGCUAUGAGUCAUCUUGCCAUCCUCAUUCCAUUUUCCUGUCAAACUCCUGGCCUUUGCUCACAUGGCUCCCUCCACCUCUCCUGCCUUCUCCCUGCACAGUCCAUGUGGUGAAUACCCAUUCAUCUUUCAAGACUCAUCUCAGUCAUUAUCCCCUGCUUUGCAAAGGAGAAUCUUCACCUGCUUCCUCCUAGCUGCCUUGCCCCGUAGAAUUGACAAGUCUUUCCAUUGUUGCUUAAUAGAAGAAAAACCAGAGGAACGUAAUUCUAUGGGGCAAGGCAGCUAUCACAGCUCUCUAAAUGGUGAAAGAAUUUGUUUGCAUGUCUGCCUCUACUGGAUUACAGUCUCUCUGAGGGCCUAGACUUUGUUUUGUGCCCUCCACUGUAUUUUCAGUGCCUGGAACAGUGUCUCCUAGCAUAUAGUAGGCUCUUGUUAAAUAUUUUGUUAACUAGAUGAGUAUCGCUACUGGGCCAUUAGCUUCUUGGAGGCAGGAACAAUGCCUUCUUUCCUCACCACUGCACAGUUCCUGGCACAUAUGGCUGGAGAAUCAUAGUAACUUCUUUCCUCAGUGCCCUAUGGAAUCCAUAUGCUACUGUAAAUAAAUGUCCCUUUUCAUUCAAGCAUUUCACCCAGGUCCCCCUCAACCUAACCUUAAACGUGGUGCUCCCUUAGGAUGACUCCCCUUUUCACCCUCUUGGAAAAAGCCUCCUCAUCACACAGCCCCUUUUACUAAGACCCAAGAUCUGCCUACUUCUGGAUUCCCAUUGCAACUCAAAUUCUUUCCUCACAGGCAAAAGUAUUGAAAGAGUAGUUAAUACCCCUGUUACUAAUCAGCCUGCAGUCUUCAUCGCCACUGAAAUGGCUUUUUCAUGGGGUCAAAUGCAUUGGACAAUUAUUAAGCCUACUUUUGCUACUUCCAAUUCUUAGCGCGUAUGGUUCUCAACUUCUCUGUAAUGUUUGGCACUUUCAAUAUGAAGCAUUUUCCCCCUUCACCUGCUUUUUCCCCCACCUACUUCUCUGGUCCAACUUUUGUAGACUUUUGGAAAACUCUUCUAUCUUAUUCUUCAUCUUGCAUUUUCCCUCAGGCCUCUGAACCCUAUUCUCUAGUUGAACUAUCACCUUUAAGAUGAUGAAUUACAAGUGUAUUCUUCUUCAAAGGCACAGCCUCAUUUCUCCAUUUGUCCCUGGAAAGCCCUCAUGGGUAACCUGAAACACUUUUAAAAUCAGCCUUUACAAAGCUGAAUUUACUAUGUAUCUUCUAACUCUUCUCUUCUAUGGCAUCUCUUGCUUAAUCAAAAGUACCCCAACAAUGAUCCCAUAUCCUAGCUAGAAAUAUGGAGAGUAUUUCUAGACAAGCUCCACUUUUUCCGCCUCAGAAUCCUACUUCUUUCAUUCCACACCUGAGACCCAAUUUCUCUCACUCUACUUCCAAUACUACUUUCACAUUCAUCCCCCCGCCUAUCCCUAUGACUACUGUGAGAUAAUAGUCUCUAAUCACAUUUCUCCUGUUUAACAAAGAUAAAAUGAUUUAUGUAUGAGUAUUUGCAGCAUGUCUUCCUCCCCUUCACAAGAAAUACUUAAGAACCAUCUGCUAUGUCCAUAGUGAUAAUGGAUCAAAAUAAUUAAGAAUUAGAAAUAACUAGAAACAGAAUGAAGGGAGAGAAAAGAUAAUGGAGAGAAAGAACACAUCUAAGAAGGCAAGAGAGGAGUGAAAAAAUAAUCCUGGAGCCCACACCUGAAUUGAGGAUGGGAAGAGUUCUGAGUGUAGUUCUAGGAAUUGAGAGAUACAGAAAGGUGUGUGAAUACCAAAGGAUUUUUACAACAUGGUUCCUGACAUUCUGAUAAAGUUUUGCAUUGCAUUUAAAUAUUCUUGCCUCCAAAAUUCCCUUGUGGCAUCACAAAGAAACUAGACCCCGUGAAGACCAAGGUAAUGAUCCAUACCUGGAUUAUUGCUGUAAAACAUCUCUAUGUAAUGUCCUAGAUGCUCCCUUCAAACCUCCACCUAGGUAUCAGAGUGACAUUUUAAAGACAAAAACUAGACCAUGACAAUACUUUGAUUAUCUUUUAUACUGUGACACUUGCCCAAGCAUUCAACCAAAACUUUUGGACAUUUCCCAGAGUUUAAGCCAGACUGAAUAGCUAGCAGUUCCCUGAAGACAUAUCACAUUGAUGAUGAUUUUUUUUCUUCUACUUCAGAUAGUCUCCUUUCCUUCUUCGUAUCACUAAUUUCUAUGUCUUCAAAUUCUGUAUAGAUAACUGCUCCUAAGUGCCUUCUUGAGCAUCCACAUCUGAGUCAGAUCAUUGCCCUCAUCAUCCCAAUAGUCAUGCUCCUUCCAUUCCAUGACCUUUCCAUUCCCAUCCUCCUCCUUGGGAAGCCAGUGCUACCAGUUUAUGGUUAGUUUGCAAGACUGUUUUUUCCACAACAUUUAGAAACACUGUAGGCAAUGCGUAUAUAAAAUAUCUUACAAAAUUUAAUUGCAUAUAUUAUAAAGUUGAUCAGCACGACUAUAGUCAGGACAGUAGCCAGGAUUCUUUGGGGCAAAAAGAUGAAGAAGACCUGCUCUAAAAGAUAGUAAAUUAUAUUAUCUGAACAUGUGAACUGAGGAUUGUGGACAUAUAUAAAGUUUCAUACAAACCAGUGGAUCUGUGUAGAGUCUGUGAAUGGUACAGGGAAUUAGAAAGACCCUACAGUCAGUACUACUUCAAAUCGGUGAAUAAGAACCAAGUAUCAGGAGUUCCCAUUGUGGCUCAGUGGAAAAGAUUCUGACUAGU